CUGUGCCGGGCCGGGGCCGGGGCUCAGCUCGGUGCUGGCCCUCACAGGGAGCCCUGGUGCGAAAGGAGCGGUCGCUGGGAGCGCUGUGUGGGCAGAGCUUCUGGAAAGAUUUGGUGAAAACGAGCGCUUUAAAAAGCUGUUUGCAGUGAUGUGCUCAGUGACCCUGCUGAGGGACUGCAGGGUUUAUAUUCUGUGCUACUUCUAGACUGGUUUUCCAAAUGGAAUGCUCCUUCUGGAUGGGAAUCUGGCACACCUUCUAGCUUCCUUUCAGCUGACAUAACUAUCUCAGCAUCUUGAGGGAAGUGUGAGUAUGCUGAAGGUCUCAUGAGCACCCAUCAGAAAUGGAAUAAUUCCUGUCAUUUUAACUCUCCAAUCCUGGCUGCAAAAAUGUGGAGGUAUCUUUUGGGUCAUGGGAAAUGUAUCUUUCUGGAAGUCCUUGUGUGUCAGAGAAGCUGUAAUGUCUGGCAGGAACAGUCAUUUUGUUGAUACAAGAAUAGAAUAGCCAGGAAUAAACUUCUAGCCUGAAGUAAAAGACUUGUUACA
rnacentral:lncRNA from 1 species